AUUGAACGCUGGCGGCAGGCCUAACACAUGCCAGUCGAGCGGAGGAAGGGAGCUGGCUCCUGGAUUCAGCGGCGGACGGGUGAGUAAUGCCUAGGAAUCUGCCUGGUAUUGGGGGAUAACGUCCGGAAACGGGCGCUAAUACCGCAUACGUUCUGAGGGAGAAAGUGGGGGAUCUUCGGACCUCACGCUAUCAGAUGAGCCUAGGUCGGAUUAGCUAGUUGGUGGGGUAAAGGCCUACCAAGGCGACGAUCCGUAACUGGUCUGAGAGGAUGAUCAGUCACACUGGAACUGAGACACGGUCCAGACUCCUACGGGAGGCAGCAGUGGGGAAUAUUGGACAAUGGGCGAAAGCCUGAUCCAGCCAUGCCGCGUGUGUGAAGAAGGUCUUCGGAUUGUAAAGCACUUUAAGUUGGGAGGAAGGGCAGUAAGUUAAUACCUUGCUGUUUUGACGUUACCAACAGAAUAAGCACCGGCUAACUUCGUG
rnacentral:rRNA from 1 species